rnacentral:rRNA from 1 species
UACGAAGGGUGCAAGCGUUAAUCGGAAUUACUGGGCGUAAAGCGUGCGCAGGCGGUUUGUUAAGUCUGCCGUGAAAUCCCCGGGCUCAACCUGGGAAUGGCGGUGGAUACUGGAUAGCUAGAGUGUGUCAGAGGAUGGUGGAAUUCCCGGUGUAGCGGUGAAAUGCGUAGAGAUCGGGAGGAACAUCAGUGGCGAAGGCGGCCAUCUGGGACAACACUGACGCUGAAGCACGAAAGCGUGGGGAGCAAACAGG